rnacentral:lncRNA from 1 species
AGAAUGGAAGCUCCAUGUGGGCAUGGCUUAGUUUUGUCCACUGCUGGAUCUCAGCAUCUAAAAUAGUCUACCACCUGAUGUCUCAGUAUACUGGCUUGCGGCACAUCGGGCAAAUGAUAACAACGGCAGGUCAGAUGCCUGAGCAUUCAGAAGCAAUGGCUGUGGAGCUCCCGUGGGUUCAGAAGGCCUGGUUCCUGUCUCCAGAAGCCUGGCUGUCCUCCCUCCUGGGCCCACUACUUUGGCUUCUUGUUCCUGCGUACAAGGAGUUGCCAAGAAGGCAACUCUUCCCCUCCCUGAAGCCAAAGGAAUGAAACAGACUAGGGCGGGAGAGGCCGCCAUCCACCGUCAUUAGUUGCGGCCAUCAGUAACAGCAACAGGACACGGAACCUAAGGCUGUGUCCAUCCUGGGCCCCCAGGGAAACGUCAGCGGGAGCGGUACUAAGGAAGUGCUCAUCUCUUAGAGCCAAAGGCCCAUGGAGGGGAACAGUAACCAUCCCCUCCCAAUUCAGAAAAUGUUAACAUAAGCACUUCAUUUCUCAUGCAGAUAACCACAUUAGUCUAUUAAUAAAAAAGAAAGAGAGAGAGAAAGAGAAAGAAAGAAAAAAAAAGAAAAGAAAAGAAAAAGGAAUCCAUGCCAGCAGGGUAUAGGAAUUGGUCUAUAGGAGAAAGGGU